AUUGAACGCUGGCGGCAUGCUUUACACAUGCAAGUCGAACGGCAGCGCGGGCUUCGGCCUGGCGGCGAGUGGCGAACGGGUGAGUAAUACAACGGAACGUGCCCAGCAGUUGGGGAUAGCUCGGCGAAAGCCGGAUUAAUACCGCAUACGACCUGAGGGUGAAAGCGGGGGAUCUUCGGACCUCGCGCUAUUUGAUCGGCCGUUGGCAGAUUAGCUAGUUGGUGGGGUAAAGGCCUACCAAGGCGACGAUCCGUAGCUGGUCUGAGAGGGCGACCGGCCACACUGGGACUGAGACACGGCCCAGACUCCUACGGGAGGCAGCAGUAGGGAAUUUUGGACAAUGGGCGAAAGCCUGAUCGAGCAAUGCCGCGUGUGUGAUGAAGGCCUUCGGGUUGUAAAGCACUGUUGGCGGGAAAGAAAAGAACUGUGCCAAUACCACGGUUCGAUGACGGUACCCGCAGAAUAAGCACCGGCUAACUACGUG
rnacentral:rRNA from 1 species